rnacentral:RNase_P_RNA from 1 species
GGAGUCGGACGGGUCGUUGCCGCGGGUUCUUUGGGACCCGGGGAGGAAAGUCCGGGCUCCGCAGGGCGGGACGCUGGGUAACCCCCAGGGGGAGCGAUCCCCGGACAGUGCCACAGAAACAAACCGCCGACCCCGCACCCCGUGCGGGAGGCAAGGGUGAAAAGGUGGGGUAAGAGCCCACCGGCGGCUGCGGCGACGCAGCCGGCCAGGUAAACCCCGUCCGGAGCAAGGCCAAAUAGGGAGGCGUUCGAGGUCGGCCCGACCGAGCCUCCGGGUAGGCUGCUUGAGGCCGGGAGCAAUUCCGGUCCUAGAGGAAUGACGACCGCCCCGCAAGGGGUACAGAACCCGGCUUAUAGUCCGGCUCCCCUU